rnacentral:misc_RNA from 1 species
GUGAAUCAUCGAAUUUUUGAACGCAAAUUGCACUCUCUGGUAUUCCGGGGAGUAUGCCUGCUUGAGGGUUAGUUUGAUACAAUCCUAAAAAGAAAUCUUUACGGAUCUGGAUUGUCCAAAAGUUAUUUUUUUGGUAAUCUAAAAUUUAUCAUAACAAUAGGUGAUAUUGGAAAUGAUGACCUUUAAUUCAUUAACAAUUAUAACAACAUUUGUAACGUCGUGUUAUUUUCCUAAUUACUUAAUUAUGUAAUAGUAAUAAAAUUUUUC